ensembl:snoRNA
AGCCUCAUUCUAGAUUAGAAUGCGCAUGGUUGAUUGCUGUCCAAAACUGGUCAUUGUGGCUAAAAUUGAGACACACAAGUCAUGCUUCCAUCAGUAAAUGUUUACAGUGAUGACAGUAAGACCUGUAACAUUU